GCUAAGUGUAUAAUAUAAUUUUUCCUUUUUCGUGAGUUGAGUGGACAGAAAUCUGUUGUGUUAACGUUAUGAGAGAUACUGAGUAGAAGAACCAAGAGAAAGAGAUAAGAAUGUCUUCACUAAUUUCAUCACUUGUAUACUCUAUUUCUCCCACUUCUUUCAGUGGCAAUUCAACUUCAUGUCCAAGAAGACGCAGUACAGCAAUUUGUUUCCCCAUCGCUAGGGCAACCACUCUCCUCCAUGCAGCCAAGCAUACUGUUGAUACGUACAUAAAAAGUGGCAUGGUUAUUGGAUUAGGGUCUGGACGUGCUUCUGGUAUGGCUAUACAGUAUUUGGGCCAUCUACUUCAUGCUGGUGCUUUAAAAGAUAUAGUAGGCAUACCCAUGUCGGUAGCAAGUGCAAAUGAAGCAGCUAAGGCAGGCAUUCCAUUAGAGAAAUAUGAAGAUGGUUCUCAAAUUGAUUUUGCAUUUGAUGAUGCUGAUAUUAUAGAACAAAAGACACUAAUUGGCAUCAUUGGUCGCCAAAACAUGCAAGGUGAGGAGUCAAUCAUUCAAGAGAAGUCAAUUCUCAAUGCAGCCGAUAAACAUGUAUUCAUGGUAACAGAAAAGCAGUACAAAGGCACAUUAGAUGGUUCCAUUCCAGUUGUUGUUCAAUCUCUGAACUGGAUGGAAACUGCUGAAGAGAUUGAUGAUAUGUUUUUAGGUGAUGCGGAGGUAUGGAGGAGAUCAUCUAUAGGCCAAGCAGGUCCACUGGGGGGUGACUUCCCUCUCAUCACUAGAGAAGGUCACAAUGUUCUUGAUGUCAUCUUUACUUCUCCAAUACAAAGUCUUGGUAUGUCUAAAGAUCAUGCUGUUUUCUUGUUUUGAUCUCCAUCUGAAGUAGCUGAAAGCCUUGAUAAAGUCAAUGGAGUUGUCGAUCAUGGAAUCGUUUACAAAUUCCCAUUGGGAGCACAUAGCUAAUCCAUCUAUUGAGAGAGUUAGCACUCCAGAUGGAAAUGUUCGAGUGGAUACCAUUGAGAGUAUUCGUUUCAGAAGCAGCACCAUCAGUCCGUAACAGUUUCUUUUCGUCAAGUCUAAAAAAUCCAUUGCGGUGAUUGCUUCUGAUAAUGAGCUUUGCAUUAUCGACAAUCCUCCAACAGAUGCAAUGCGAGUUAUCCUCUGAGUAAGUACUAUGUAUUGUAGAAAUUAUUACCAAUUUAUAAGGGAGAAGCAAAGAGUUAUAAUUUAUAAGAAAGUGAACUGCGUGCUUUUCUUUCUUUUUUUUUUUUUUUUUUUAUUUAAUAAUGAUUGAUAUUAACAAUUUUGGCAUGUUAUUGAGUUGAUUGCACUAAUCUUCAAGUUUCUUUUAUAAUUUAAAAUAUUCAAGAUUGGUAUGUU